CUUGUUACGACUUCACCCCAGUCAUGAAUCCUACCGUGGUAAUCGUCCCCCUUGCGGAUAGACUAACUACUUCUGGUAAAACCCACUCCCAUGGUGUGACGGGCGGUGUGUACAAGGCCCGGGAACGUAUUCACCGCGACAUGCUGAUCCGCGAUUACUAGCGAUUCCGACUUCAUGCUGUCGAGUUGCAGACAACAAUCCGGACUACGACCGGCUUUCUGAGAUUGGCUCCCCCUCGCGGGUUGGCUUCCCUCUGUACCGACCAUUGUAUUACGUGUGAAGCCCUGGCCAUAAGGGCCAUGAGGACUUGACGUCAUCCCCACCUUCCUCCGGUUUGUCACCGGCAGUCCCAUUAAAGUGCCCAACUAAAUGAUGGCAAUUAAUGGCAAGGGUUGCGCUCGUUGCGGGACUUAACCCAACAUCUCACGACACGAGCUGACGACAGCCAUGCAGCACCUGUGUUACCGUUCUCUUUCGAGCACUAAAGCAUCUCUGCUAAAUUCGGUACAUGUCAAGGCCAGGUAAGGUUUUUCGCGUUGCAUCGAAUUAAUCCACAUAAUCCACCGCUUGUGCGGGCCCCCGUCAAUUCAUUUGAGUUUUAAUCUUGCGACCGUACUCCCCAGGCGGUCUACUUCACGCGNUUAGCUGCGUUACUCAUGGAUUUUACUC
rnacentral:rRNA from 1 species